rnacentral:rRNA from 1 species
GGGUUGUGAGGUUAAGCGACUAAGCGUACACGGUGGAUGCCUAGGCAAUCAGAGGCGAUGAAGGACGUGCUAAUCUGCGAUAAGCGUCGGUAAGGUGAUAUGAACCGUUACAACCGACGAUUUCCGAAUGGGGAAACCCAGUGCAAUUCGUUGCACUAUCGUUUGAUGAAUACAUAGUCAAACGAAGCGAACCGGGGGAACUGAAACAUCUCAGUACCCCGAGGAAAAGAAAUCAACCGAGAUUCCCCUAGUAGCGGCGAGCGAACGGGGAACAGCCCAGAGUCUUAAUCAGCAUUAGCAUCAGGAGAACGGUCUGGAAAGUCCGGCAGUAAAGGGUGAUAGCCCCGUAUCCGAAGGUGUUAGUGUUGUGAACUCGACGAGUAGGGCGGGACACGUGUUAUCCUGUCUGAAUAUGGGGGGACCAUCCUCCAAGGCUAAAUACUCCUGAUUGACCGAUAGUGAACCAGUACCGUGAGGGAAAGGCGAAAAGAACCCCGGCGAGGGGAGUGAAAUAGAACCUGAAACCGUGUACGUACAAGCAGUGGGAGCCCCACCACCAAAGCAUUUUCUGGUGUUGAGGACAACUUUGAAGUGGCAUUCAACACGCGUUGACGGAGCGCUUUUUGCGACGUCCAACACACAAAACAAGCAGUGAAUGUGCUUUGGGGUGGGGUGACUGCGUACCUUUUGUAUAAUGGGUCAGCGACUUAUAUUCUGUAGCAAGGUUAACCGUAUAGGGGAGCCGUAGGGAAACCGAGUCUUAACUGGGCGAAUGAGUUGCAGGGUAUAGACCCGAAACCCGGUGAUCUAGCCAUGGGCAGGUUGAAGGUUGGGUAACACUAACUGGAGGACCGAACCGACUAAUGUUGAAAAAUUAGCGGAUGACUUGUGGCUGGGGGUGAAAGGCCAAUCAAACCGGGAGAUAGCUGGUUCUCCCCGAAAGCUAUUUAGGUAGCGCCUCGUGAACUCAUCUUCGGGGGUAGAGCACUGUUUCGACUAGGGGGUCAUCCCGACUUACCAACUCGAUGCAAACUACGAAUACCGAAGAAUGUUAUCACGGGAGACACACGGCGGGUGCUAACGUUCGUCGUGAAGAGGGAAACAACCCAGACCGCCAGCUAAGGUCCCAAAGUCAUAGUUAAGUGGGAAACGAAGUGGGAAGGCUCAGACAGCCAGGAUGUUGGCUUAGAAGCAGCCAUCAUUUAAAGAAAGCGUAAUAGCUCACUGGUCGAGUCGGCCUGCGCGGAAGAUGUAACGGGGCUAAACUAUGCACCGAAGCUGCGGCAGCGAUAUUUAGAUAUUGUUGGGUAGGGGAGCGUUCUGUAAGCCUGUGAAGGUGUACUGUGAGGUAUGCUGGAGGUAUCAGAAGUGCGAAUGCUGACAUAAGUAACGAUAAUGCGGGUGAAAAACCCGCACGCCGGAAGACCAAGGGUUCCUGUCCAACGUUAAUCGGGGCAGGGUGAGUCGACCCCUAAGGCGAGGCAGAAAUGCGUAGUCGAUGGGAAACGGGUUAAUAUUCCCGUACUGGUGAUAAUUGCGAUGGGGGGACGGAGAAGGCUAGGCUAUCCGGGCGACGGUUGUCCCGGUUUAAGAAUGUAGGCAGGUGAAUUAGGCAAAUCCGGUUCACUACAUGCUGAGGUUCGAUGACGAGUCACUACGGUGAUGAAGUAGCUCAUGCCCCGCUUCCAGGAAAAGCCUCUAAGCUCUAGAUUAUCAUUAAUCGUACCCCAAACCGACACAGGUGGUCAGGUAGAGAAUACUCAGGCGCUUGAGAGAACUCGGGUGAAGGAACUAGGCAAAAUGGUGCCGUAACUUCGGGAGAAGGCACGCUGGCGCUAGGUGAAGUCCCUCGCGGAUGGAGCUGAAGCCAGUCGCAGAUACCAGCUGGCUGCAACUGUUUAUUAAAAACACAGCACUGUGCAAACACGAAAGUGGACGUAUACGGUGUGACGCCUGCCCGGUGCUGGAAGGUUAAUUGAUGGGGUUAUCCGUAAGGAGAAGCUCUUGAUCGAAGCCCCAGUAAACGGCGGCCGUAACUAUAACGGUCCUAAGGUAGCGAAAUUCCUUGUCGGGUAAGUUCCGACCUGCACGAAUGGCGUAAUGAUGGCCAGGCUGUCUCCACCCGAGACUCAGUGAAAUUGAACUCGCUGUGAAGAUGCAGUGUACCCGCGGCAAGACGGAAAGACCCCGUGAACCUUUACUAUAGCUUGACACUGAACAUUGAGCCUUGAUGUGUAGGAUAGGUGGGAGGCUUCGAAGCGUGGACGCCAGUCUGCGUGGAGCCAACCUUGAAAUACCACCCUUUAAUGUUUGAUGUUCUAACGUUGCCCCAUUAUCUGGGGUGCGGACAGUGUCUGGUGGGUAGUUUGACUGGGGCGGUCUCCUCCCAAAGAGUAACGGAGGAGCACGAAGGUUGGCUAAGCAUGGUCGGACAUCAUGCGGUUAGUGCAAAGGCAUAAGCCAGCUUGACUGCGAGAGUGACGGCUCGAGCAGGUACGAAAGUAGGUCUUAGUGAUCCGGUGGUUCUGAAUGGAAGGGCCAUCGCUCAACGGAUAAAAGGUACUCCGGGGAUAACAGGCUGAUACCGCCCAAGAGUUCAUAUCGACGGCGGUGUUUGGCACCUCGAUGUCGGCUCAUCACAUCCUGGGGCUGAAGUAGGUCCCAAGGGUACGGCUGUUCGCCGUUUAAAGUGGUACGCGAGCUGGGUUUAGAACGUCGUGAGACAGUUCGGUCCCUAUCUGCCGUGGGCGUUGGAAGAUUGAAAGGGGCUGCUCCUAGUACGAGAGGACCGGAGUGGACGCACCACUGGUGUUCGGGUUGUCAUGCCAAUGGCAUUGCCCGGUAGCUAAGUGCGGAAGAGAUAACCGCUGAAAGCAUCUAAGCGGGAAACUUGCCUUGAGAUGAGUCUUCCCUGACCCUUUAAGGGUCCUAAAGGAACGUUUAAGACUAAGACGUUGAUAGGUUGGGUGUGUAAGCAUAGCGAUAUGUUGAGCUAACCAAUACUAAUGAACCGUGAGGCUUAACCUGACAACACCGAAGGUGUUUUAG